UACGUAGGUGGCAAGCGUUGUCCGGAUUUAUUGGGCGUAAAGGGCGCGCAGGCGGUCCGUUAAGUCCGAGGUGAAAUCUCCCGGCCUAACUGGGAGGGGUCUUCGGAUACUGGCGGACUUGAGGAGAGCAGAGGUGAGCGGAAUUCUCGGUGUAGUGGUGAAAUGCGUAGAUAUCGGAAGGAACACCGGUGGCGAAAGCGGCGUGCUGGAUCCCUUCUGACGCUGAGGCGCGAAAGCCAGGGGAGCAAACGGG
rnacentral:rRNA from 1 species